GGGGAAUUCGUUCAAGAGCGCUUGGUGGACUCAUCGCUCAUCUGUCCGGAGCAACAAAACAAGUUGACCAAAUCCAGGUGUACCUAAUGUUGUGGCCUGUGAGGAACUCACCACAAAUUUGCAGCCCACUUUGCUAAAGGGGCAGGCGCUCUUGGACUUAGGGCAGGAUCGUUGGUGAUCGUUGAACUGGAGAGGUGAAACAAAGUUUAUGGUGAGUUGGCGACCUCAGAUAGAUUAAAAAAAAAAAAA